rnacentral:rRNA from 1 species
AACGAACGCUGGCGGCAUGCCUAACACAUGCAAGUCGAACGAAGUCUUCGGACUUAGUGGCGCACGGGUGCGUAACGCGUGGGAAUCUGCCCUUGGGUACGGAAUAACUCAGAGAAAUUUGUGCUAAUACCGUAUAAUGUCUUCGGACCAAAGAUUUAUCGCCCAAGGAUGAGCCCGCGUAAGAUUAGCUAGUUGGUGGGGUAAAAGCCUACCAAGGCGACGAUCUUUAGCUGGUCUGAGAGGAUGAUCAGCCACACUGGGACUGAGACACGGCCCAGACUCCUACGGGAGGCAGCAGUGGGGAAUAUUGGACAAUGGGCGAAAGCCUGAUCCAGCAAUGCCGCGUGAGUGGUGAAGGCCUUAGGGUUGUAAAGCUCUUUUACCCGGGAUGAUAAUGACAGUACCGGGAGAAUAAGCUCCGGCUAACUCCGUGCCAGCCGCCGCAGUAAGAC